rnacentral:tRNA from 1 species
AAGACUUUAAGUUAAUAUAAACUAAUAUCCUUCAAAGCUAGAAAUAGAUCCAUCUAAGUCUUA